rnacentral:lncRNA from 1 species
UAGAUAAGAUUCCAGAUUCUCUUCCUGCAACCAUUAUAAUACCAAAAAGCUCAACCAGCAAACAAGAUUUAGCCUAUAAGUACAAAGAUGCUGCAAAGACUAUAUCCCUCUUGAUUUUGGUGAUGGCCUCUUCAAAUUUCGCUUCAAGGUGUGUCUCACCAAUGGAUUUCGCUGCUUGUAUUAGCUGCUGAAGAACUUCCUCCAGUCUCCGGAUUGCCCUGAUCAAGCUGCCUUCGAAAACCUGUGCAAAUUGCAUGAUUGUAGCUUAUAACUGUCCCUACAUACUGUACGAAAUGGUACUUACAAGUACCUAUAAGCUCAAACCAAACAUGCCCCCUGAAAGGUUGUAGCUGGUUGAUUGUGUGCACAACAGAAACCAAAUGAAAAGUGCUAUAUAUAAUGCAAUAAAUUAAGGUAAAUUACCCAAAAAAAAAAAAAAAAAAAGGUCCAAAACGCACACAAUAUUUUGCAUGUAGUACGUAUAACAAUUCUAGUUAGAAAUUGAGAAUCUGCACUCCAGCAGAUCAAAAAUCUAAAAUAAAUUAUUGGAUGAUACAAUAUACUAAAAGCCGUUUAAACUAUGCUAACCUAUGUAACGAUUAACUUAGCCUCUCUCUCUCUCUCUCUCUCUCGCUCUCUCUGCUUGAAGAUUAUCCUGACUUUUGACCUUUCAUCAAUCAUCGUCCAGGACGCAGAAGACAAAAUUGUCACAAAUAAAGUUAAUUUCACAAACAGGUAGACCCCAUCCUUGAAAACAAGACAAUGAUCUUUCUUCCUUCUUUCCAUAAAACUCUCCCUGUGAGCAUUUUCCCAGCUGAUUAGAUAAGAUUCCAGAUUCUCUUCCUGCAACCAUUAUAAUACCAAAAAGCUCAACCAGCAAACAAGAUUUAGCCUAUAAGUACAAAGAUGCUGCAAAGACUAUAUCCCUCUUGAUUUUGGUGAUGGCCUCUUCAAAUUUCGCUUCAAGGUGUGUCUCACCAAUGGAUUUCGCUGCUUGUAUUAGCUGCUGAAGAACUUCCUCCAGUCUCCGGAUUGCCCUGAUCAAGCUGCCUUCGAAAACCUGUGCAAAUUGCAUGAUUGUGGAAAAUUUGGAUCCCUUGGCCCAGUCAUACACAG